UACGAAGGGGGCUAGCGUUGCUCGGAUUGACUGGGCGUAAAGGGCGCGUAGGCGGUUUGCAUAGUCAGACGUGAAAUUCCUGGGCUUAACCUGGGGGCUGCGUUUGAUACAUGCAGGCUUGAGUUCGGAAGAGGGUCGUGGAAUUCCCAGUGUAGAGGUGAAAUUCGUAGAUAUUGGGAAGAACACCGGUGGCGAAGGCGGCGACUUGGUCCGAUACUGACGCUGAGGCGCGAAAGCGUGGGGAGCAAACAGG
rnacentral:rRNA from 1 species